AUGGAUUUGGGGCUGAUGUGGCUUUUCCUUGUUGCUCUUUUAAAAGGUGUCCAGUGUGAAGUGAAGCUGAUGGAGUCUGGGGGUGGCCAGAUACAGCCUGGGGGAUCCGUGAGACUCUCCUGUGCAGCCUCUGGAUUCACAUUCAGUGACUACUGGAUGACCUGGAUCAGACAGGCUCCAAGGAAGGGGCUGUUGUGGGUUGGAGAAAUUAAUCCAGGUAGUGGUACCAAAAACUAUGCCCCAUCCCUGAAGGACCGCUUCACCAUCUCCAGAGACAAUGCCAAGAACACACUGUACCUGCAAAUGAGCAGUGUGAGAUCUGAGGACACCGCCACCUAUUAUUGUACUACAGGCACA